rfam:Eubacterium sp. An11 An11_contig_6, whole genome shotgun sequence.
UAACCACCAGGCCAUCAAAACAUGCAUCUGCUCGUGCUUGCAUGAAAGCAGAUGCGUGUUUUAGAGGGCCGCCCCCACAUGAGCAAGAAGCUCGAUAGAGCGGAAUGCGAAUGAGGGGAGGAUUGCGGGAGCGUGAAACGCGGAGCAAUCCGGGUGGUUA